UGACACCAUGUUCCCUUCCUAAGAACCGUUCAGCUGCUGGGGAAGGAUGAGGGGCUGGCCACCCAGGCACGGCGACCACAGGGCACUCCUCGCCACCUCCUCAGGUUUUGAAGGGUGAAUAAACAUACAAGCCAACAUCCAGCAUGAGGAAGGAUCUGGAAGACCCAUCAUCUGUCAGCCUGCUCAUUUCUCACCCCAGGCCACAGGAGGGAGCACCCAACCCUGCCUGGCCCUUCGUGGUACCUUGGAAUCCAGCACUACACCUAUGUACUGAGCAGAACCAAUCACAAUCCUUUCCCAAGACUGAUGUCAGACUCAGGGGACACGCCUCCCUUGCAUGGCCAGGGUUUCUGAGCUGGGAUGUCACUGGUCUGAUGCCAAGAAAGGUCACUUUCCCAACUCCAUGGGGUGGGGUGGGGUCCCGUCAAGUGGCUGACAACAUGGCUGGCACAGCCAGGGAGGCCAAGCGACUUCCUUGAGUCCCUGGUCUCUGCCUGAAGCCAGGACCAACCCCUUGGCUAGUUCCAG